rnacentral:rRNA from 1 species
UACGUAGGGUGCAAGCGUUGUCCGGAAUUAUUGGGCGUAAAGAGCUCGUAGGCGGCUUGUCGCGUCGGCUGUGAAAACCUGGGGCUCAACCCCGGGCCUGCAGCCGAUACGGGCAAGCUAGAAUUCGGUAGGGGAGACUGGAAUUCCUGGUGUAGCAGUGAAAUGCGUAGAUAUCGUGAGGAAGACCAGUGGCGAAGGCGGGUCUCUGGACAGUAACUGACGCUGAGGAGCGAAAGCGUGGGGAGCGAACAGG